CCCUUAGAUGUCCGAGGCUGCACGCGCGCUACAAUGACGUAUUCAACAAGUUUUGCAAGGUCGAAAGACAUAGCUUAAUCUUCAAUGUACGUCGUGAUGGGGAUUGACGAUUGCAAUUUUUCGUCAUCAACGAGGAAUUCCUAGUAAACGCAAGUCAUCAACUUGCAUUGAUUACGUCCCUGCCCUUUGUACACACCGCCCGUCGCUACUACCGAUUGAAUGGUUUAGUGAGUAGGUAGGAUCGGUUCUCCGCUAUUACCCGCAAACUGAACCAUUUAGAGGAAGUAAAANUCGUANCA
rnacentral:rRNA from 1 species